GUGCUUUACUUGAUUUUGUGUUUUGUCGCACUUAUGUGCGUCAUUUUUCACCAUGUAAAGCUACAAAAAUAAGUUCUCCUCGCUAUCCGGUGAUUCUUUUUAUAGUUCAUUUGGACGUUGGUGAACUACAUUA